AUGUCCAGACAGCACCAGCACCUCCGAGGAGGAGCAGUUGCCCAGCUCCCCGUUUGCAGUCAGGUCACGUUUACAAGGCUGGGCCGUGCACGGCUUUGCACUCGGGUUCACCCGGGGCGGGGGGNGGGGGGGGGGACCCGCUCUGCAAAAAGCGACCAAGGUCCCCAAGUUGCGAAGCCCUUCUGGGGCCCCGCCGGCCACGCACCCCACGCCUCCCCGUGCGUGCCGACCGAAGCCCACACCCCCGCCUCACCCUGGAAGGCCUCCAGAGAAAGCCCCCUCCGAGCCCGGGAAGGCCCGGCCGCCGCGGGGAGGGGCCUGGCGGGGCCGCGCGGCGAGGCGGGAACACCGGGCUCCGCGUCCUCCCGCACCGCCCGUCCUCUGAGCCGCCACAGGGGACCCCAGCAGAUGCAGGCUCACAACCUCACAGCAACAAGUCCAGCAGAGAAAGAGCUUCUCUUUGUCAACCAUCCCACCAGGCCUUGGGCCCGGCUCUCAUCAGCAGGACUGGGCCACCUGUCCCUCCUGUUCUCCCAGCCACCGUGACCUCGAGGUAGGUUGGUUUCCUCUCCGUCUCUCAGCUGCCUUCUUGUCCCCCACAAGGAAUAUGUGGGUGCUCCUGGAUCCCUUCUCCGCCACAGGGGGGCAAAGGUGACAGAUCCUGAUGGUGAUCGGGAGCCAUUUCCGUGAAAUAUGAUGCACCACCACUUCACUUUGGCAUAUGGCAUUCUGGGGCAGAGUUCCAAAGAGGAAGUAGGCACAGGGUCUCUCUGCUUUCAUCUUUCUCCUUAACCUGCUGGGAUUUCUUUUUCUUUUCUUUCUUUCUUUUUGUUUUUUUAAAGGUUUUAUUCAUUUAAUAAUGGGAGACACACAGAGAGAGGCAGAGACAUAGGCAGGGAGCCUGCUGCGGGACUCAAUCCCAAGACCCAGGAUCAUGACCUGAGCCAAAGGCAGAUGCUCAACCACUGAGCCAGCCACCCAGGCACCCUAGGAUUUCUGUUGUCAUACCAUACCUCUUCCUAGAUCAAGACUUGGCACAGAGGUGGCCUCAGGCCCCUCAGGGAACUUGGGCAGACUCAUCACCUUCAGUCUCUUUCCUCACAUUGCCUAUUUCCUGAGGACUUCCAUGCCACCUUCCAUUCUGGAGGAGGUAUCCCCUUCCUCCUGCCUGUGGACUUUAGUUCUGAGUGGUACCCAUGCUGCCCUGCUUCUAGGACAGCAACACCUCAUGGCUGAGCUUUAUGGAAGAAGGGCUGUAAAGAAAGAAAAAAAAAGAUUCCUAUGGGGAAAAAAUAUAUGAGGAAAUAAUCUCAAGACCAUUAUUCCCGUUCAACCUCUUCCCUUUGUGGUUGCUGAGAGGGCAGGAUGUCAUCGGCUUAAAGCAGCCAGUGGUCAUCUGGCCAGCACCUGGGGAAGCUGUACCAGAGAUUGUAGCUGACAGAGAGGGAAGCAGAAUUGAGAGGCAGCUUUCUGUCGUGCCUGAAACCAGGACCUGGAUUUUUUCAAUUACAUUGUCUAAUAAAUCCCCCACAUCCCCCCA
rnacentral:lncRNA from 1 species